AGGGAUCAAGAAAACCACUGUACCAUUUGGGUAUGGCUGCGUCGACGACGUGCGAGUAGAAAUUGGGGGGACCAGGGAUGACCAUCGCGGCGAGGCUGCGACGGGAUCGUUAGGUGAGCGGCUUCGUUGCAACGAGGCCGUGACCCAAUGGAAAGGCGUGGGACGUCCGACUGCGCACUCGACGAAAAGGGAGAAUAUCGCUAAUCCGAAGCAGUGCCAAUUGAAGAGCACCGGCAAUCUGG
rnacentral:misc_RNA from 1 species